CAGCAGCCGCGGUAAUACGAAGGGGGCUAGCGUUGUUCGGAAUUACUGGGCGUAAAGCGCGCGCAGGCGGUUCUCCAAGUCAGUGGUGAAAGCCCGGAGCUCAACUCCGGAACUGCCAUUGAAACUGUUGAACUUGAGGACGAGAGAGGUGAGUGGAAUUCCCAGUGUAGAGGUGAAAUUCGUAGAUAUUGGGAAGAACACCGGUGGCGAAGGCGGCUCACUGGCUCGUAUCUGACGCUCAGGCGCGAUAGCGUGGGGAUCAAACAGGAUUAGAUACCCCAGUAGUCCCUGUCUCUUAUAC
rnacentral:rRNA from 1 species